AGGAUUCCCCUAGUAACGGCGAGUGAAGCGGGAUGAGCUCAAGCUUAAAAUCUCUGUCACAAAUUUAUUUUGUGCGGCGAAUUGUAGUCUAUAGAGGCGUGGUCAGUGUGGGCGCUUGAGAUAAGUUCCUUGAAAGAGGACAGCAUGGAGGGUGAUACUCCCGUUUAUUCUUGAGUGGCUUAUGCGUAAGACCCGUUUUCUUUGAGUCGCGUUGUUUGAGAAUGCAGCGCAAAGUAGGUGGUAAAUUCCAUCUAAAGCUAAAUAUUGGUGCGAGACCGAUAGCGAACAAGUACCGUGAGGGAAAGAUGAAAAGAACUUUGAAAAGAGAGUUAAAGAGUACCUGAAACUGCUGAAAGGGAACCGGAUCGUUUCUAGUGUCUAUAAUCUGUGACAUAUUUCAUCGGAGAGUGUGUGCGUGUGUAUACUAUGGCAGCGGCUAUUUUUUGGCUGCGCUUGGUGUGUGUGCUGUGUGCGCUUACUGGUGCCCUGUGUUGCGGUGGGACGUCAAGGUCGGUUUGUAUACUGCGGGAAAUGGCUACUGAGGAGGUAGGGCUUACGCUUGCGUUUGUCUAUUAUAUCUUGGUGGUUGUGUCGUGGUUGAGACUGAGGUGUCUACAACGUGUUUUUGAGUGAGACUGUGUCUCCGUGUGCACCGUGUGCGGAUAGCUUGCUAUGUGUGUGUGGUUGUGUGUGGAUUGAUGCGGACUUUAACUUGUGACCGUUCGGGACGUUGACGAAAUAGAGCGAUUUGACCCGUCUUGAAACACGGACCAAGGAGUCUAACAUGUGUGCAAGUGUUAGGGUGUGGAAACCCCAGCGCGAAAUGAAAGUAAAGGAUAGUGUAAACUGUCUGAGGUAGGAAACGUUGCGGAUUUCGGUCUGUGGCGUGGCACUAUCGACCGAUCAUGAACCCUCGUGGUGAAAGAUUUGAGUUUGAGCACAUAUGUUGGUACCCGAAAGAUGGUGAACUAUGCCUGAGUAGGGUGAAGCCAGGGGAAACUCUGGUGGAAGCUCGUAGCGAUUCUGACGUGCAAAUCGAUCGUCGAACUUGGGUAUAGGGGCGAAAGACUAAUCGAACCAUCUAGUAGCUGGUUCCCUCCGAAAUUUCCCUCAGGAUAGCAGCAACUCAUUUACGAUAGUUUUAUGAGGUAAAGCGAAUGAUUAGAGGAUUCGGGGAAGAAACUUUCUCGACCUAUUCUCAAACUUUAAAUCUGUAAGACCUGCAGGUUUCUUAAUUGAACU
rnacentral:rRNA from 1 species